ACUACGGGAGGCAGCAGUGAGGAAUAUUGGUCAAUGGGCGGAAGCCUGAACCAGCCAAGUAGCGUGCAGGAUGACGGCCCUACGGGUUGUAAACUGCUUUUAUACGGGAAUAACGCGCCUUACGUGUAGGGCUUUGCAUGUACCGUAUGAAUAAGGACCGGCUAAUUCCGUGCCAGCAGCCGCGGUAAUACGGAAGGUCCGGGCGUUAUCCGGAUUUAUUGGGUUUAAAGGGAGCGUAGGCCGCAUGUCAAGCGUGCUGUGAAAUGUCCGGGCUCAACCCGGGCCUUGCAGCGCGAACUGGCGUGCUUGAGUCCGCGGAAAGCAGGCGGAAUUCGUCGUGUAGCGGUGAAAUGCUUAGAUAUGACGAAGAACCCCGAUUGCGAAGGCAGCUUGCUGCAGCGGAACGGACGCUGAUGCUCGAAAGCGCGGGUAUCGAACAGGAUUAGAUACCCGGGUAGUC
rnacentral:rRNA from 1 species